AGAUAAAAAGUUAAAAACUUUAAAAAAACCUCAACACUCACUCUUCUUUCCUAUUCUCUCUCUACAGCUUCAUCUCAAAGCAAAAAUAAACCUAAAAAGGGUUUCGCUUUCAUUUCGCACUCUCAAUUCUUCUCAUUUUUCUAAAAAUCAUUUCAAGAAAAUUGUACAAUUGGCUUCAGUUCAGCUUCUUCUUUAUAAAGAUAGUCGCUUUAUUAUCAUCCGUGGAAAAAAAUAGUUCUGGGUUUUUUCUGAUCUGAGCUUUCGAUUUAGGAGAAAGGCUUUUAGUUGUUCUCCCUUUUACAUGGAGAAAAGUAUCAUAGCAGUGAAAGGAACUUCUCAAGCAAGCGAUAUCAAUACUUCUGUGUCGAAAUCCUCGGAUCGGUCAUACAAAUUGAAUCAAUAUCUAUAGACCUUGAUAUUCCUAUGCCGAAGAAAGAGGAAGGGAACUGCCAGCAUUUUUCAAUACGUGGAUAUGUUGCUGAGAUGA